UGCAACUAAGCACAGAGUAGCAGCAAUUAUUAACCAGACAGCAGGAGGGAGAGACAAAAAGGAGAGAGAGAAAAAGCCAAAAUUAGUUGGAGAAAAAAAAAACACUGUUACUCAACCCACCAUGACCCCUGACCCACUUCGUGUCAGCAUUUGUCAGAUAGUAGGGUGGUGUUUUUUCUUUUUUUUUAAUACCUUGCAACAUACAGCUCUUUUCAGUGCAUUAGAGAAGGUUAAACCUUGAUGCCAAAAAAACAACAACAAAAAAACCAAAGCUGAAGCGUUCUCGACCAUGAACAUGGAUUCCGGGAAAUAACGAACAACUGGGAAGCCUGGGAGGUUGACCAGACCAACCCUGAGUAAAGUUUUGUCUCAAACAACACAUGCAGCUGUGAACUGCUCUGCUCGUCCAGGUCAACCAAGCCCCCGCUGGAACAUGUGUUUCUAAACCCUCCCAGCUUCCAGUUCCAAGAAAUAACCUGGAGCUUUUAGCAACGUCGCUGCACAUCUGAUUUAAGAGGUGACACGAUGGCUGAGAAUCACGCUGGCGCCGCCAGAGGACUUCCUACAAGGUUUCGGUCAGUUUCCUCUGACGUUUCUUACUUUUAUUUCUGCCUGUGAACAUGUCCAAUAUGAAGGGAGUCUUUGUUUCACAUAUCUGUGUCCCAGGAACUUCUCAUAUCCAUGAUGUACAUUAGAUCCAAAGGCGCUACACAGUUAAUAUGACUUCUAAUCCUGAAAGGCUAAACGGCUGCAGCUCUGAU